UGCAGUCGAACGGAAGUCGUUAUAAAAAGGAUUGAAGAUUUAUCUGAUUGAGAUUUUAUAACAAUGGCUUUAGUGGCGGACUGGUGAGUAACGCGUGAGCAACCUGCCUACUAGAGGGGAAUAACAGUGAGAAAUCAUUGCUAAUACCGCAUAUGCCAUGAACAUCACAUGAUGAAAAUGGGAAAAGAGUAAUCUGCUAGUAGAUGGGCUCGCGUCUGAUUAGAUAGUUGGUGGGGUAACGGCCUACCAAGUCAACGAUCAGUAGCCGGACUGAGAGGUUGAACGGCCACAUUGGGACUGAGAUACGGCCCAGACUCCUACGGGAGGCAGCAGUCGGGAAUAUUGCGCAAUGGAGGAAACUCUGACGCAGUGACGCCGCGUAUAGGAAGAAGGUUUUCGGAUUGUAAACUAUUGUCGUUAGGGAAGAUAAAAGACAGUACCUAAGGAGGAAGCUCCGGCUAACUACGUGCCAGCAGCCGCGGUAAUACGUAGGGAGCAAGCGUUAUCCGGAUUUAUUGGGUGUAAAGGGUGCGUAGACGGGACAACAAGUUAGUUGUGAAAUCCCUCGGCUUAACUGAGGAACUGCAACUAAAACUAUUGUUCUUGAGUGUUGGAGAGGAAAGUGGAAUUCCUAGUGUAGCGGUGAAAUGCGUAGAUAUUAGGAGGAACACCGGUGGCGAAGGCGACUUUCUGGACAAUAACUGACGUUGAGGCACGAAAGUGUGGGGAGCAAACAGGAUUAGAUACCCUGGUAGUC
rnacentral:rRNA from 1 species